CACCUGACAUCUCUUUAAGUGAAAGUCAGCUUGGAAUUUUUUUUAAUGGCCAAGCAUAAAUCUUUUAAAUUAUAAAUCAAUAAAUAGUUAAUUCAAUAAUAGGAAUCUUUUAAAUAUUUAAUGAGUCAUAUGCAGAAUGGCUCUAUAACUGGAUGUUGAUGGAACUGUGUCAAAGGAAUUUGAAUCAAACUUUUCUAAACUCCCCAUAUUAAAAUAGUUAUUGAUUCAAACAUAACCUAUGAGGACUGUGGCAAAAGCAAGGGGGGGCUGGAGGGGCUUGGCAUACAUUUUCUCAUCCAAGAAAACGUGAAACCAGCAGCUCAUUUUUAAUGAUGGAUUCUGGAGCUGUUCAGGUUGUGUUAAUGCUCCCGCCACAAAAAUGAGUGAGACCCUACACAGACAAGAUUCUGUGUGUGCAUAUUCAUUAGAAUUCUGGUUUAAUGGCAGCUGUGCUCUUAAAUAAAAGCUGUGGCAGUUGCCUCUUGCUAAAGGGCUCUGUAACCAGCAGGGUUACCCAGGCAGGGAUGUCCUGAACUAUCUCCAUUGGAAACUGCCCAGAAGUUUGGAUUUAUUUACCAGAGUUUUCAGGUGAAGGACAGUGGGAGUUGUAUCUAUGGACGCUGGAGCUGAAUUUGCUCCUUUCUGAUUUUCUCUGAGCAGAUCUGUAGUUUGUGUUCCCUUAUGAACUACAUCCUGCUGUAACUCAACACCCCCCCUAAUCACCCCAAAUUGGAGGCAUUUUGUGCUGAAUCCUCAGCCCAUGGUCAGUGCUCUGUUAUUCCAUGGCAGAGGUGGCAUCUUCACACCUGGUACAGUCUGACCUUCACUUCCCAAAUUGCCAUCUGGUUCAUCUCUUCCCGGGUGAAAUGGUGGCAGGAUGGUGCUGAGAACAGGCCGUGGGAGCUGCUCCUGUGGGGAAAUCCAGACAGGUGAGGAAGGCACAGAGGGAGGAAGGAAGGAAGGAAGGAAGGGAUUGCCUGCAGAUUUGCUGAGAUUGGUUUUGCAGUGCUGCUGAAGGACAGGUAAGUUUGCUCUGGGGAUAUUUAAUGGGCAUUCAGUGCUGUGUAUUCCAGACACAGGAAUGGUAUUUGAGGGGGAAAAAAAAGGCUUUAAUCAUAGGAUUGUUAAGGUUGGAAAAGACCUGGAAGAUCAUCAAGUCCAACCAUCAGGUUUGGACCUUAGUUCAAGGCUUGUUCACCAUUUCAGGGGCUUCCUGCCUUGAAACCACUCAGCAAAAAUAAUUGGGGUGUCUACACUCCUUCACCAAAGGCAGCAGUGAAGGCAUUUGAUGUUGUCUCCUGAACUAAUGAAAUGUGGUGUCAGGAACUCCUCAUGGUGACACCUUGUUGUACCCAUUACACAGAUGGUUUAAACUGGUUUGUGCUCUGAGGAGGCAAAGCCUGACUGCCCAGAAUUGGUCUCACUGCCCUUGAGGGGCAGCCAGGACCAGCCAAAACCCGGGUCCAGGAUUACCUGAAGCAGGACCUGCUGUUUGUUCUUCCUGUGCAUCUGUAAUCAGCUGUAGUUGGUUCAAUAUUUGCAGCAGAUUAGAGUUUCAUUUGUAUUCUGCACACCUCUGCUCUCUCCUCUGUGUGUGUGUGUGUGUAUAUAUAUAUAUAUAUAUAUCUCCAGAAAAGCUGCCUGCAUAUCCUUGUUGUUUUUUUUUCCCCCAGGAUGACAGAUACUGUAACAAUGGCAGUAGAUUAAUAUCUCCUUAAUCAGCCAAAUGAACAUGACAUACAAGGGUGACAGCUCAAUUUGCUGCUAACAGAUUGUGCCUAUCACAGCCCUUCCAUUCCAACUGAUGGUUAUUUCUGGAAGAGAUCAUAGGCUUCUGGGAGGACUCCACGAGCUCUGAGGCUCCCAUUAAAUACAUCAAGUAGCACAUAGGUGUUACUCACCCGCUGUCAGGACAUUCCUGCCUGGGGAAUGAAAUGAGCCUUGACAGAGCAGAGGAGGGACAGGGAGCUGGGGAGGUGGCUCGGGGUGGUGUUGGCUGCAGGCUGCUGCAGGGCCCUCUGUUCUUGGCAUUUUUCUGUUUGCUCAUGGCCUGGUCCCUGCUGAAAUGUGGCCCAGUGGGGCUGUGUCCUGGGGAGGAAGCCCAGGAGGGGCAGCAGUCUGAGGAGAAGGGACAGGUUAAAUCUGAGCCCCACAACUGGCUGUGCUCCGAGUGUGUUUGCAGGUGGGAUUGCAGGAGGAUCUGGUUUCUGACUCUGAAAUCCAACCCACGGGGUUGAAUCCAAAUCUUUCUUUUCCUGCUUCCUGUGGUGUUUCAAAGGAAGUGACCCCAGGGACUGUGCAAGCCCCAUGCACGGACAGGGGUCCCUCCAGACCUCCCAGCAGACUCACUCCAGCACGUCCUGCUCCUCUCAGGGAGUGGGUUUGCUCAGCUCCCAGCAGUUUGCUUCACUGCAGGCAACAGACAUGUUUAUUUUUGAAAGAUAAAAUGCAAGUGGUUCGAGUGGAAAAGAUUUCCAAGGCAAAUUUGUCAAUAUAUUACUGAAACAAUGGUAUUAAGAAACAUCUAUAUGAUUGUAAUUAUGAAGCUCAGCCCUUCCCAAGGAGGGCUCUGUCAUUCCCUGCACUUGCCACAAUUUCUGUCAUACAAAUGUGUUCAUUAUUUUUAUCAUUUUUUUCCUUCUUAUUACAGGUUUUGCCAUAAGAAUAACUCAUCAAGGUUUUAUGACUAAUAAAUUCUCUAAAUUACAGUCCAAGGAUGCAUUACUUUAAUUUUUUCCUCCAUAUUCUGCUUUUAAUUGCCAUGUUAUUUCCCACUUGAGUUUUUUAAUGACUCGUUAGGCUUAAGGGGAAAGAACAGAAUUGAGUCCCACCAAGAUCUUGCAUCAAGUUUUGGACACCUCAGAAAGGAAGUCUUACAUUAGGGGAGGAAAAAAACAUGACUUGUGUGUCUCGAGAGGAGAUUUCAAAUUUGAAGUGUUGAGGAUAUUCAAACAAAGCAAAAAUCCUUAGGAAAGGCCCAGAGCAAGUAUUGUUCAUUAAUUAUUUGAGCAAUUAUUUCUAAUGAGGAAUGCAGUCAAGAUGUCCGUGGUUUUUGCAAGAUAUAGAUACCUGCAUGACCUUUAACGUGUAAAUAGAUCUCCUGGGAACAUUGCAGAGUUCUGAAGACUAAAUUUAGAUGUGUCCUUAAAAACUUCAUGAAAUCAGGACUGGAGGGAAUAAAAGGUGACAUUUUUGGUUACAGAUUGUUUCUGUGGGCUUUGUGCUUUGCUGUGUGGAGCUGACUGGGGGCAGACAGGCACCUGCUGGUCUCCCUUCUGGAAUAACAGGGGACACUGAACCCACUGCCCUUUCCAGCAGUGCCAGGAAUGGGCCCCAAGAGCCCUGCCAUGGUACCUGUGGCAGCAAACUGUGUCCAUAAAAAUGCCUUUUCAGGUGCAGCUGCAGGAGGGGUUUCCCAGCAGCGGGGAGUGACCACCAACCCAGGGUCCUGCUCAUGCCAGGGAGUGCCAGCUCAUCCUGGGAUCCCAGGGGACGUGGCUGAGUGGUGCUGGAGGAGCAGCCUGUUUCGGGUGGAAGGCAAUGAAUGUCCAAAACUGAGGAGAAACAGGAACAUAGUGCAGAAUGUGUUUCAGAACAUAUCAUAGAUAUUUAAGAAAGUGGGAAAUCCGCUUAAUAUUAAUAGAUGUUAUUUGUUUUGUGAUUGCAGCAGGGACUUGGCUGUGCUGGGCCCUCUGUAAGGACACCGAGUUUGUCCCUUCUUGGGACAUGUCACGGGAUGGAAGAGCUGGAAGAGCUCAGCUGCUGCAUUUCCAGGUCCUGUCGCUGCCGGGGGCUUAAACAUUUUAGGAAGACCUGAAGAGCGAGAUAAACCCCUUGACUACACGCUGGAAAAUCAGGAGUUUGCUCUGUGAGUACCCUCCGAGCCGCUCUAGAGGGAGGCAGAGAGCCGCUGCUCCGGGAACAUUCCCUGCUUUCCGUGCGGCACAAUCAGCAGCAACAGAAAAGUGCUCUUUGUCAGGCGUGUUUCAGGUGGCAGCGCAGGUCCCGCCAGCGGCAAAGUCCUUAAAUAUUCCCCUCCAUCACUGGCUCAGCAGGAUUUGGCUCUGGCAGGAGCCGUUCAGCACUUCCCCUGCAAUUGCAGCCCCACGACUGGAGUGCAGAACCAGAGGGUGCUGCGGGAAAGCGGCUCGGAAUUGGGCUCUGGCUAAUCAGGACUGGAAGUCAGAGCAAAGUAGUGCCAGUCCUCCCAUCUGGGCUCCCAGGGUAACUAUUCCUCACGUGUGAGUAUUAUUGAACUGCACCCCUCGGUAUUUCUCCUCCCUCUGCUGACCAGGGGCAGUUUGCUGUGAAAGUCUUCCCACACGGAUUUGGUCAUUCCAGGAGAUGCUUCCUUGGGCUUCACUCACAAAAUCACAAAUUUGGGAAAUUUCACCCCGUGCCCAGUGUGAGAUAAAAUCCAUCCUCACUGCAGCUGAUCAGCUUCAGCCCAGGUUUUUCAGAAAAUCUUCUUCUAAAACAUUUUUGCUUGUGGGUUUGGGUUUUUUUUUUCCAAACCCUGAACUGAGGCAACAAUAUAGUUGCUAAAUAGAUUUUAUUUAGUAUCCAAAUUUUUGACAUAUCUGUGUUCCUGCUGAGGCCUGUGUUUUACUGCAAAUUAGACUCGUCCAGGGCACUGCCCACUGUGAUGUGGCCAUUCCCUACAUCCUGUGCCUUGGGAACUGGUGGAACUGGCCUGGCUCUCCUGCUCCUCAGGCUGAUUUGAGCCUCACAAAGUCCUGUGUGUGAAGACCUGAAAUGCAGUUCACCACAGCACACACAGUGUAGAAAUCUGCAACUUGUUAGCCAGGAAAAUUCCAUCCCAGGGAGCUGUGGGUCACACAAAAGGGUUUGCAGAAGCACUGCCCCAAAAUGAUCCCACUGCAGUCCCAGUUCAAGGCCCAAAACAUCUGCAUGUGGGUUUGCAGGCCAUGGUUUCUCUCUGGUAACUCAAGUCCUAAUGUGCAUUAACUGUUUAAAACCAAUUUCGUUGCAGUUAAAAUUGAAUAUGACUGUUAGUCUAGAAAAUAUGGCCUAUUUCCUUUUACUAGUUAGCUUUUAAAGGUGUUUUACAAUUCAAAUGAGCCAUGCAAUUAAAGGUGACAUUGCCAAAACUGGACAGACUAAAAUUAGACAUUCCUGCUGUGUGUUAGAGCUUGGCCCACAUUUAGAUCAUGCUGUCUUUGGGCUGUACCUGUCUGCUCCAAUCUUAUGAGUCAACAGGACACUGAAAUGUUCCAGAAUCCUGUUGUGUUUUUCUGUUCUUUCUGUCUUCCAGGAUUACCUGACCCUUCAUUCCCUCUGCAGCGUUCAGUGCUCCCAGCACACUCACACACACUUGUGCACACACAGAGCAGGAGUUCAGCAGGUUUUUUGCCCUGAGAACUGGGAGGCACUCGGUGGUUGCUGCACUCAUUGGCUUGAACACCACCAGCCCUUCAUCAGCCCUUAAAUCCCUGAGCUCCCCAUCCCAGAGCAGCAGCAGUGGGAGGGUCUGUCUGUGCCUCUCUGAUAAACCAGGGGCUGGGGGGAGCCCGGGGGGCACUCAGGGACUCCUGCUUUGAUCUGGAGUAGCCCGGGUGUAACACUUGAGUUACAAGGCUGUUGAGAGAAGGGUCCCCCUCCACCCAGGGCUGGGAGCUGGAGGAGCACACGGGAGGUCACUGACAUCCCGCCUUCUAAACACCCCUGUGCACCAAUUGAUGUGUAAUUAUGCUGUCCCUGGGUAAUCAGUGCCACGCUGCCCUUAACAUUUAACGUGGGCAGGAUUCUGCCUCACCUGUUAGUGAGGAGACUCCUGAGCCCCCCAGUCAAUACCUUGAGGGAAAUUAGAAAGUCAGAAGUGAGGAGAAUGUCCCAGAAAAUGCCUGUUGUGCUUUGAACACAGGAUGUGGCCAUAAGGAAAAUCCUCCCUCGUUUCAAGCUCGGCUCCGUGGAUUUAAUACUGGCAUUCCUUGGAAUCAGUGAAGUUGGUCAUGUCCUCUCCCAUCCCACUGUAAGGUUGGGGACCUUGGGUGACUUGUCUCAUAUCAGUGCAUCUGAAUUGCCUGGAAUGAUGGUGUUCCCUGUUAUCAGGAAAUACCUUCUUGCUGGGAGAGGGGGCAAGGCUCCCUGUGUGUGCAGGGAUGUGUGCAUGUCUCAGAGUCAGGAACAGAAAGGAUAUGCAGAUUCUGGGUGCAAAACUCCCAGAUUAAAAUAACAGAAAGUGUAUUUUAAGUUCCCUGGUGCAGCUCCCUGGCAAGACAUGAUUAUAUCCCACAAGACACAAUAAUGUGUUUGUGCAGCACGUUUCAGGUGCUUUACAAUGUGCUGUUAAACUUCUGUGUUAUAAAAUAUCAUAUAAAUAUGCUAACCCCUCCUGCACUGCCCUUCCCUGUGUGCUGUUGCAGCCUGUCCCUGGGAACAAGCUCCCAACCACCUGAUCCAGGAGCAAGGACCAUUCUCUGGAAAACGAGGCGCUUUUUACGGCACCGGUGACAAGAUCCAGCUCUUCCCACGGCCCUUGGAAGCCCAGCCAGACCUUUGGGCCAGUGCUUUGACUGCAGCCCAGCAUCACUGUGCCACAGAACCCCGGGGAUGUUGCUGGUGUGAGUGGUCCUUCAGGAACCCGUCAGAGGAGAGUUUCAAACACUUCCAGUCAGAGACCACAGGCAGGUGACCCUGGAGAAGGUGCUGGUGUUCUCUUAUUCUCGGUUUCGCAGUCUGAAAUACUUCCCUCAGUCCCUGCUGCUGCCUUCCUCUGCAAGGUCAAGUGGGAGCUGAAGUCCCAUGAAAAGUGGUACAGGAAUUGCUGAGAGUCUAAUUCCCCUUUUUUGGAGGAGAUCAGUCCAUGUGCUCCCAACAAUCCUCUGGAGCUCCCUUCCCUCCUGGCUGAGAGUGACCCAGAGCUGGGUGAAGCCACCUCAGGGCUGGGGGAUUCACAAGGGCUGCAGAUGUCCUGCCUGUUGAGCAGCUGGGGGAGAAGGAAGUUCUUCCUUCUGAAAUCCCAAUGGAUACAGUACCCAGGGCACUGUGAGAAAAUCCUGGGUUGAUAUUUCUCUUUGGAUUCCACUUGGUAGUGUCUCUGUCUCAUACAUAUAUAUGUGUGUGUAUAUAUAUCUCUGUCACGUCUGUUGGUCCUUCCCCUACAAAAUGUGCUUUUCCAAGACCAGUGUCCUGAGUCCUUUUGGGGUGCUGGAGCAGGAGUGGAUCAGAGAUGUGAAAGUUGGCUUCCUCCCCACUGGAACGGGGAGCAAAAGGCUAAUUCCAUUUUACAGUCAUCUUUGUACCAAUAUAGUUUGUGUGUUGUGUUUGACCUCCUGUAACAAGGUUAAACCACAGGGAUCCCCUUGAGAAGUUGCUAUUCAUCUUUUAUAUGUGAAGAUUUUCAAGUAUAGAAAGGGGAUAAACCUAAUACGGUGUUUAAUGGGAAAAAAUUAUGACACCAAUAACACAUCUGUGUCUGUAAUUUCACAGGUUUUCUCUCUGUAUAUUUAUAUAUGUAUAUAUGUAUAAUUUAAUAUCAGCCUCAGGGUUGUGGUCUCACAUGUCAUCAGCUUGCAGGAAACUGGAUCCUUGGACUAAGUAUCAGAUGAGUUGCUAAUGUUUGGAAAAAAAGCAAAAAAACAUGCUUUGGGUCUCUGUUUUAUGGCUGUUAUUGAAGUAAGAAUUUGUGAUUGUAACCCGACGCUCGCCCCGCCAACAUGUUUUCAUUAUUGUCUGGAUAAUUGAAAGUGCAGGCAAAUUUGGGUGCUGGGGGAUAUUGCACAUGAAGGGCUUGCUGCUCACCCAGCUGAGUGUUGAGGUGGCUCACAUGAAGGGUGAAUAUGUUUCAGCAUUUAAAGCAGGGCUUAAAGGCUGUUUCAUUCCCCCCCAGCAGCAGCCGUGGCUGACGAACGUGGGCUCAGUCUGGCUCCAGUUCUGGUUGCCCAGCCCGGGCUGUCACACUCAGCUCUGCCCUCUCACAACCUGCACUUUGGCUUCUCAGGCUCUUUUUGUCCCAGUUCAGAGUGAGCUGCCCAUGAAAACGUGUUAUCCCCUGGCUGUGUAAGGAACUGUGCCAAGGGAAAGGAGCUUCCCUUCGUGGCAGGACUUCUGGGAAGGGUUGUGAGCAGAACCUUUCUGCUCUUGGAGAUGCACCAGUAGAAAGAAGCUGCUGGAUCUUCACCAGCUUGGAAAAGGAACUUUAAACAUUUCUGUCCAUAACCCCCCCUCCAGUCUUGUAGAAUUUCUGCUUGGUUUUGUUUGUUUAUGCAAAAAGGGAUGAUCCUGGUCCAGUUGGUGACUAAAAAAAACCCCAGAAUCUUGGUUUGUUGGCAGGAAUUGGUAUUUAUUAAAAAUCCUUGUAGCUGGAAGGGCAGAUGAUGGGGAUUUAAUGCAAAAGGUGGUCCCUGUGUCAGUGAGACAUGAUGACAGGGGCACCUCUGUGCCACAGUCCAGGCCUGUUCCUGUUCCGUGGGUAAACACAUGAUUCAAAUCCCCAGGAUUUAUGGAUGGAGCAGUUUCCCCACUACAUGAACCCCAGAGCUGACACAUGUAGAAAAAGGUAAAUGAGGUUUGGGAGUUAAUCCCUAUUAACUGGGCAUAACUGGGAAAUUAAACCAAACACAAACUUUGGGUGGCUUUGGAGAACACCUUGGGGCUUUGCUGCCAGCUCUCUGAAUCCUUUAAUUAGAUGCACGUGUCUGUGCUGACAGAAAAGCAGGGCUUGGUCACUCAUUAAUCUUCACCCAGUGGUCGAGUGCAGCCCCCAGCCCACGUGAGGCAGAGCUGCUCAGAGCUGACCCACUGCUUGGGGGAAAAGCCUUUGAACAGUUGGGAAAAGCCAACUCCAUCUUGAGUUCUGCAAGGAACUAAUUACCUGCCUGGACUCUCCCCACAUACCAGCUCCCACCCCCAUAAAUCCCAGGAGCAGCAGCCAUCCACCAACGUCCUCCACACUUCUCUUCUGAAUCAGGUCCUUUAUGUGCAUCUCAACUUGCUCGUGGAAGAUUCAUGGCCCAAGCUGCCUUAAGUAUUUUUGUUAUGAAUAGGAACCCUUAAACAUUUCCUUCUCAUUUAAUUUAUCAUUUUUUUUUUCAGGCUUUCAGCGCUGGGUACAAGCUAGAAAUAAUGGGAGGUGAAGCUUGUCCCUGAGAAAAAGAGCCUUAAAAUAAUAAAGUGUACACUGGAAAGGGGGAAAUAAAUUACCCAUUACCAGUAGUACAACACCAGUAGACACCAGUAUCCCUGUGUAUUGAGCUGGCUCCAUGUUUUGGGGCAUGAGGAGAGCAGAGAGGUCACCACUCACUGUUGGGAUGUCCUGUACCCGGAGGAACCAUUCCUCUUCUCCAAGGUACUUGGUAAUAAUUAAUUAAGUACUGGUGAUUUACUUACACUGGCACCAGUGGUUUGGGUGUGGGGAUUUUUUUUUUGCCACGUGGGCAGGGAAAGGUCAAGCUGUGGUUUGAAUUAGGGGUUCAAACAAAUCUGCUCAGCUCAAAAGGAAAUGGAGUUGAAAACACUGCCUUCCUCCCAGUCAGGUAUCCCAACAGCAAACUGGGGAGAUUUCACUUGGAAGGGGAUUGUGGGUUUACUAAUACUUUUACUAACACAUUUUACAGCUUGGUGUGCCAUUCAGGUUUAUAACAGAGCACAAAAUAUAAUACUAAUAAUAUUUAGGGCUUAAAAUGGAGCUAUGUUUGGAGUAAGUCCACUGUUUAUGGCAUCCUGAAUGCAAUAAGAAAGGGCAGAAUUUGAGAAAAGCAGAUGAUGUAUAAAAUAGGCUGUUCCAAGUGUACAGAAACCCCUUGAAUUACACAGUGGGCACGACCUGUGUGCUCCUGUGUAUGGAACAAGUUUGAGAUGCAAGUCCUGACCUGUUGCUUCGUGUGCAGUUGGGCCUGUGAGUGAAAUAACAGACUGCUUUUCUCAGCUGCUGAAAGCCCUUUUUUAGGGGCAAUUUGGUUCUCUGCCUUUUCAAAGGGAAAUUUUAUCCAUCUUAUUUUCCAGUGUGUUCUGUUUACCGGUGACAGAUGGACUUACAAAUGUGCAACUCGUCACCGGGGCGGGAACGACCCUUCCCGGAGCAGCUGGGCUUGUGCCAUGAGCAUUUUCGGGGGGAAAAAGGGACUUUUUUUCCCUCAUUUAGCCAAAUUGUGCUUUUCAUAACUCGGUGACAAACCUGCAGUUGUCCCUGGGGGGAGCAGGUCCCACCCCGUGGGUGAGCUCCCCUCCCUGCCUGGUGUCUGCUCGGCUGCUCCAGCACCUCUGCCAAGCCAAGUGUUGGGAAUGAGGUGCCUUCCCAGAACUCCAGUCACCCCCAGGGCUGCUCUGCUUCCCACUGGCUCAGGAGAACCCUUUUCCCUGCCUGUUCCAAACCAGGCAGGGAGGCUGAGGACAGCCUGUGUGGUUUGUCUGAUCUGGUGCUGGAACUCCCAGCGUCACGUCGGGUGGCUGUGAUUUGGAAUGUUAACCACUAAAUCACUUAGAGGAAUUUAUAAUUCACCUCAGCUAUUGUGGGAUUUGGUACAAUAAGAUCAUUAUUGCCUUGAGAUAUCCUUCAGGUCAUUAAUUUAAAUUAGAAAUGCCUUCAAACAGGAUAUUGUGCACGGCUCCUUCCAUAGAUCUUAAAGCUUAAAUAAACCCAAGAAAUACUUCCUGCCAGAUAUUAUCUUGGCAAAUGUGGAUCCCCAUUUCCAAGCAGUGAAAUACCUGGCUGUGGUUGUUGAAGGUGGCAUCUCAUUAAGGGGCAGAUGAAUGAAUUGGGCUAAUGAUUUUUGCUGGUUUGAAAGGACUAAAUUCUCCCCUAAGUGAACCACUUGUCACUGUUCUUUAGGGAUUUUACACUGGAGUGGGGUGGUUUGUUCCAUAACUGGAUUCAGACUAAAAUAACUGUGACCUUGCAAAUGAGGUGGAUGUUCCCUGUGGAAGAUAACUCCUGGAGAAGUGGGGCUGUGGUGGGGAGCAAGAGAGAGCAGUGUGAGGUGGCAAAGUGCUCAGGCUGAAGGAAGGACUGGGUGGAACUGGAUGUGAUGGUUGAAAGGAGAUCAAAAAAUGCCUUAAAUAUCUGAUGGGUGGAAUGGUAAAUGAUGGUCCAAAAAUGACUUGAACUUUCAAGGGUGCAGAGCUGUUCUAGUGCAAAGAGAGGGCUGGGGUGAAGGCAGCCUUGAGAGUCGAGGCUUUGGCUCACUCUGGGGAGGGAAAGAUCUCGCUAGAAAUAAUUUGCCAAACUGAAUUGAUGCAGCACCAGCCACCUUGGAAGGCAGAGUCUGCAGUUCCUGCUCCUUGAGUGGUGGGGGUGGGAAUGUGCCACGAGCAGAGCUCAGGGACUUGGCCUCUGCAGCCUCAUCACCCAGUGCCACAGCAACCUGACCUAAAAAACCUCACCCCAAAACUUAAUAUUAAACUGUGCUGCCAGGAUCAGCAGGAAAGACUCAGCAAUGUUUAAAUGAACAGUUCUGUCAGCCACAACUCUGGGUUUCUGAGUGGUUUCAGUCAACUCUUCCAGCCUUUGAUUGUUAUUUCUUUCAGAGUCUGGAUUUCCCUGUUCUGAACUAGGAUUCCCUCCCAUCCCUGGUUUCUGUUUGAGAGGAGGACUGAGCUGUCAGUGCUCCAGGCACUGGAGAAAUCCAGUGUUUGGGGCUGAGCAUCCAACCUGCUGAUUGCAAACGGGCCUGCAGGGGUGUCUGCAGUGAGUGUUGGGUGAUCACAGAGCACCACGAGCUCAGGCAGCUCCAAAACCCUCCCAGGACCGGGGAUGGAACCCUCAUUCCCGAGAAGGAACUGCUCCAGCAUUCAUGCCCUUGGUUUAAUGAUGGUUUUGGGGGUUCCUGGACAAGUUGCUGCUCAGUGCUGAAAAAACACGUUUAUUGGCUGGUCCAGCUUGUUUCUUAGAAAGUUUGGAGGCUGAUGGCUGGCUGGGGACGUAUCCGACUGCAUUUUGCUCUCUAACCACCCAGAGCUGCCCCAGUCCUCCCUGUUGUCUUCCUAUUUCUUGGCUAACUGGGGAAAGGAAAGCUCCUUGGCAGCUUGCCACGCCGAGCCCCCCCAGCCCUGAUUUAUUAUCACCAAAACCAGCUGCAGAUGUUGGCCAGGCCGGGGCUCUGCUGCCAAUUAGGGCGUCUCAUGCAGAGAUUCCUGCUCGGUGUGCCUGGCACCCAGAGCAGAGCCUGGCUGAGGGGACUGGGCCAUAAAAAGGGAGUUUAAAAACAGGGAAAAUGGGUUUCACCUGGGCAGGUAGUGGCUGGUGGGAGGAGGAGGCUGGGCCAGAUUUUGGGGGUUUUGGCCAUUUCUCAGGACUUUCCCUGUGCUAAUGAACCCUAAAACUUCACACUCACCCAGCCCCUGUGUCCUUUGGGGGCUCAAAAUUCAUCUUGGGUUCACUGAAAGUCUGUCUGAACUUUCCCAUGCUGAGAAGGAACUUGCAGUGAAGUUGGGCUGAGCUUUCAGCAUGACCCCAAACCUCCUGCCAGCCCCUCUGCCUGAGGGAGCACCUGGCAGUGUGUGUCUGGGCUCUAGAGCCAGUUUGGGAAUGGGGAGCAGAAGUGAUUUCCAGGGAACUCUUGCAUGGAAACAGGAUCAUUUUCAGCUGUGGAAAGUGGAGAAAGAGAUACAACACUGAAAAUGUCUGUAAAGUAGAGACCAGCUCAAGUUAGAUAUUUCCUUCUGCUGUUAAUCCAAUGUUUAAAUCAAACUGGUCACAAAUCUAGAUAAUCUGACUCAAAAUGAGGCUGAUAUAAAACAUGAUCCCUUUAAUCCCUUUAUUCUACUUCUAUUACAUUUUGGGUCUAUGAUCUUUAUUGCAAUUUCAACCAUAAUUUCACAAGACUGCCUUUCCAGUGCUCUACAUGUUAGAGCCACACGACCUAUUAUACUAAAAAGGCUGGUCUAUGUAUUAUAAGCAAGAUGAAUAUCACCAACUUAUAUUUCAAUGCUGUGUGCAGCAUUGCAAUUGCAAUUUGACAAAGUUAAACACAGCUGAAAACUGUGUGAAUUAAAUUGGGAAAAAAUUAUCACAGUGUAGAGCGAAAUGAAUGUGUGAAAAAAUUGUGGAACAGUAAAACUUGAGACAGUUUUAAUCAUUGGUCUCAUUAGCACCUGUGAUGGGAGGAUGCUUCUUUGGAUAGAAGCAGUUGUGUCCCUUUCAGUCCCAGUAAGAAGCCUAAAUAAUUUAUUUUUCCUUAAUGCAGUGUUUUUAAUGGUGUCUGAAAUUCAGCAGAACAAAAUCUGAAAGGUUUCUGCUACUAAACAGUUCUCACACCCCUUCUUAAUAUCAGGUUAAUAUUUAUGCUGUGUCCUGAGACUUUCUAAAAACAAAUAAAUAGAAAGCCCGGGGAAAACUCAAACAAGCCUUUUCCUCAAUAUUUACCCCUUCUACUGCAUGCCCUUGUCCAUCUCUUUAUGCUUGCUAUAAUUUUUAAAGUUAGUAGGAAAUAAAUAAAAUCUUAAGAGUGUUAGUUUAUAACUCCUGUCUUUUCGGCCCUGGGUAUUUGAUUUAAAAGCAGCUCGUGGUGACCUCCCCGGGUAUCGAGUGCUGAGUGCUCCGAAUGAAAUGCAAGAGCUGAUCUCACCACUUGGCCAAGCUGGGAGGAGUUCCUUGGGCACACGGGCGAGAUCAGAGCCCAUUAGCAACCAAUAUUAGAUUAAAUGAGACUAAACAUUACCCAGGGUGAUUUUCCUGCUCCGAGAGGUUUGUGGUGGCUCUAAUGCAAAGCACCUCCUCUCUGCGGGGUUUGGUCUCUCCCGGGGAGCUCCCGGGGCUGGCACAGGAUGCUCGGGGGGGAUCCUGCACAUUCGGGGCUUAUCUGCAGAGCAAUCUGAUGCCACGGCCCCAGAGGGACGGAGGGGGGAAACCUGAUGACUGGGCUUUACUCGAACUUAAUAGCGACAUAAAAGCCCCGCUUUUCCCUUUCAAGGUCCGCAGUGCCCCUCGCGGGGAAGGCGGUGUCGCCUUUCCCUAAUGCACCAGAGGGGCAAAGCCCUCCGAGCUGCACAGCUCCCGGACGGGCUGGGAAAGGGGGUGUUUGGGCAGGGCCACAAACACCCCCCAGUGAAACCAGGAAAACCACCUGGGCACUGCUGAAGAUCCCCUGGCAAAGUGGGCACCAGCUCUGGGCACCCCCGGGUGACACUCGUGGGAUGAGGCUCUGGGAGAAGGAUCCUUGGCUUGGCUUGGCUUGUUUGUGGGACUGGGAACUGGUUUCUCCCAGCAGGAAUUGCUGUUUGCCAGUGGGACACGUUCCCUGGGCUUCAAACACUGUUUUGUGGCAGAGUUGGUGAGGGUUGGGUUCCUCUCUCAAUUCCCACUUUCUCUCAAGUGAAAUGAUGUGAACACAUCCUGGUUUUUCCCUGAGGGAAUGAAGUGAUGCUUGGCCAGGUGAGUUCCACCCAGCUCUCAGGAGUCCACAGGGAAACAACAGAACAGAUUGACACAACCUCCUGUUCUCUUCUGCCUGUGCUCUUGGGAGAAAAGAACCCAACCAACCCACUCCUUCAGUCUCAGGAUUUCUGCAGUGUCAGCCUUCCAGGCCACCAGUGGGAUUCACAAUCCCUGGGGGAAGCUGAGCAAAACAAAUCCCACUUUCUGCUCAGGUUUUUGUUUUGGUUUUUUUUUUUGCAAACCAAAUGUGAUGUUCUGGUGUGAGACAGAAAUGCUGCCAAACCCACUUUACAUCCAAAUGUUUCAUAGAGCUGAGUCAGACUUUCCUGAAUUUUUGUUUCAGAAGGAAAAUGUAAGCAAAAAGCUGUGGCAGAAUGAAAUAAAUCCAGGUCAUACCGUUAUCAAGUGUCACUAUGGAUUUUCAGGGAUUUCUUCUAAAGUUUUCCAGUAGAACGAAAUAUUCUGUUAGAAAUUUGAAACUGGAGUAAUGUUUUGAUGUAAUAAAAUAUUUCCAUCAA